GCCGGGUGUGCUGGCAUAUGCCUGUAGUCCCAGCUACUCAGGAGGCUGAGGCAGGAGAAUCACUUGAACCCAGGAGGUGGAGGUUGCAGUGAGCUGAGAUUGUGCCACUGCACUCCAGCCUGGGUGACAGAGUGAGAUUCUGUCUCAA
rnacentral:SRP_RNA from 1 species